CCUACGUGUGGCAGCAGUGAGGAAUAUUGGUCAAUGGGCGCGAGCCUGAACCCGCCAAGUCGCGUGAGGGAAGACGGUCCUAUGGAUUGUAAACCUCUUUUGUCGGGGAGCAAAAGACGCCCCGCGUGGCGUUCCGAGAGUACCCGAAGAAACAGCAUCGGCUAACUCCGUGCCAGCAGCCGCGGUAAUACGGAGGAUGCGAGCGUUAUCCGGAGUUAUUGGGUUUAACGGGUGAGAAGGCGGAAGAUCAAGUCAGCGGUAAAAUUGAGAGGCUCAACCUCUUCGAGCCGUUGAAACUGGUUUUCUGGAGUGAGCGAGAAGUAUGCGGAAUGCGUGGUGUAGCGGUGAAAUGCAUAGAGAUCACGCAGAACGCCGAUUGCGAAGGCAGCAGACCGGCGCUCAACUGACGCUCAUGCACGAAAGUGUGGGUAUCGAACAGGAUUAGAUACCCCAGUAGUC
rnacentral:rRNA from 1 species